CGCCGUCUGCCAGCCAGCGCGAUGCCUGGGUGCUCACCCUCUCCGUAGGGUGUCCGUGGGCUUCUACCCUCUCGUCCCAGCUGGCCAUGGCCAGCCGCGGGGCUCGGCAGCGCCCCAAGGGAGGCGGAAGCAGCGGCGGCGACACGGCCUCGGCCGCGGACAAGCUGCGGGAGCUGCUGUGCGGCCGCGAGGCGGGCGGCGCGGAGCCGCGGGCCGAGUUAUCUGGGAACAAAGCAGGCCAAGUUUGGGCACCGGAAGGAUCUACUGCUUUCAAGUGCUUGCUCUCAGCAAGGUUAUGUGCUGCUCUUCUGAGCAACAUCUCUGACUGUGAUGAAACGUUCAACUACUGGGAACCAACACACUACCUCAUCUACGGGCAGGGAUUCCAGACUUGGGAAUAUUCCCCAGUUUAUGCCAUUCGCUCCUAUGCUUACCUGCUGCUUCAUGCCUGGCCAGCUGCAUUUCAUGCAAGAAUUCUACAAACUAAUAAGAUUCUUGUCUUUUACUUUUUACGAUGUCUUCUGGCUUUUGUGAGCUGUAUCUGUGAACUUUACUUUUACAAGGCCGUGUGUAAGAAGUUUGGGUUGCACGUGAGUCGAAUGAUGCUAGCCUUCUUGGUUCUCAGCACUGGCAUGUUCUGCUCAUCUUCAGCAUUUCUUCCUAGUAGUUUCUGUAUGUAUACUACAUUGAUAGCCAUGACUGGCUGGUAUAUGGACAAAACUUCCAUUGCUGUGCUUGGAGUAGCAGCUGGGGCAAUCAUUGGCUGGCCAUUCAGUGUGGCUCUUGGUUUACCUAUUGCCUUUGACUUGCUGGUCAUGAAACACAGGUGGAAGAGUUUCCUCCAUUGGUCGCUGGUGGCUUUAAUACUCUUUCUGGUGCCUGUGGUGGUCAUCGACAGCUACUAUUAUGGGAAGUUGGUGAUUGCACCACUCAACAUUGUUUUGUAUAAUGUCUUUACUCCACAUGGACCUGAUCUUUAUGGUACAGAACCGUGGCAUUUCUAUUUAAUUAAUGGAUUUCUGAAUUUUAAUGUAGUCUUUGCUUUGGCUCUCCUGGUCUUACCACUGACUUCUCUUAUGGAAUACCUACUGCAGAGAUUUCAUGUUCAGAAUUUAGGCCACCCAUAUUGGCUUACCUUGGCUCCAAUGUAUAUUUGGUUUAUAAUUUUCUUCACCCAGCCUCACAAAGAAGAGCGAUUUCUUUUCCCUGUAUAUCCACUUAUAUGUCUCUGUGGUGCUGUGGCCCUUUCUGCACUUCAGAAAUGCUACCACUUCGUGUUUCAGCGGUACCGCCUAGAGCAUUACACUGUGACCUCAAAUUGGCUGGCGUUAGGAACACUCUUCCUGUUUGGACUCUUAUCCUUUUCUCGCUCUGUGGCCCUGUUCAGAGGGUAUCAUGGGCCCCUUGAUUUGUAUCCAGAAUUUUACCGAAUUGCUACAGACCCAACCAUCCACACUGUCCCAGAAGGCCGACCUGUUAACGUCUGUGUAGGAAAAGAGUGGUAUCGGUUUCCUAGCAGCUUCCUUCUGCCCGAUAAUUGGCAACUUCAGUUCAUUCCAUCAGAGUUCAGGGGUCAGUUACCAAAACCUUUUGCGGAGGGACCACUGGCCACCCGGCUUGUUCCUACUGACAUGAACGACCAGAACCUAGAGGAGCCAUCCAGAUAUAUUGACAUCAGUAAAUGCCAUUAUUUAGUGGAUUUGGACACCAUGAGAGAAACACCCCGGGAGCCAAAAUAUUCAUCUAACAGGGAAGAAUGGAUCAGCCUGGCCUACAGACCGUUCCUUGAUGCUUCCAGAUCUUCAAAGCUGCUGCGGGCAUUUUAUGUCCCUUUCCUGUCAGAUCAGUAUACAGUGUAUGCAAACUACACAAUCCUCAAACCCCGGAAAGCAAAGCAAAUCAGGAAGAAAAGCGGAGGUUAGCAACACGUGUGCCUAUGGUCCCAGCGGACAGCCAUCCUGUUCUAGUGGUUCCACUGGCAGGACUCCUUCCCAGUCAUCACUUGUAACGUUGUAAUAAAGGCCACCUGACACAAAUCCUGGAAUCUGGGUGCUUUGGGCUGACCGGAGAAGAGCAGAAUCAACUCAUAGGAAGAAUUGAAAGUCUCUGAACUGGGUGGCUGUGUCAAGCUGUUCUCCACUCUCUGGCCUGGCACCUGAGAACUAGCUCGCCUCUCCUGGGCCGUAUGGGCCUCUCCACCAAAGCUGUGUGGCAGCUUCUCACAGACCUUCUUGUUCAAACCCUAAUGCUGAGAAUGAGCACAGCCCAGUCGCCAACCUACAUGCCCCUUCCCCUCCAGCAAGACUAAGUUUCUCUAAAGCGCUUCACAGGACGAGGCCUGUCCUGGAGGUACCUCAGGAAAAAGGCAACGACGUGAGGAACUGUGGCCAAACUUCAUUAUUUAGAAUGCCAUUUAUUCUCAUUUUAUUUCCUUUACAACAAACUGUAACUAUGUGGAUUGUUUUUUAAGUGUUAGCAUGCUAUUUCUUGAACUCAAGACUUCCCUGUGUAAAGUUAUUAAUAGAACAGUAUACAGUAUAUGCAAACUACACAAUCCUCAAACCCCGGAAAGCAAAGCAAAGCAAAUCAGGAAGAAAAGUGGAGAUUAGCAACACGUGCACAGGACAUAUUUGUAGAAAAUUAAUUCUAUCAAUUGGUAGAGUUGGAUAAUAUCACAUUUUUAAGUAAUGUAUUCUGUGGCCAUUUCUGAGGAAAUUAAGAAUUUCCCUUUUUUAAACAACCCUAGUGAAAAAGACCAGUGUAUAUUUAUAGCAACUAUUUUUGAGUCUGUACAUUGCCAAGCACAUCCUGCAUGGGGCGCUUCUCAUCAGAUAGGCAAUUAUAAUGACCUAAUAUUUUAAUAAGUGUGUACUCUCUUUCCCUUUACAUACAUUACCUUUACAUACAUGAUUUCAUAGUUUAUGAAGCAUUUUGCACUAUCUCAUUUGAUCCUCAGUCACAAUGUGAAGUAGAUAAGGCAAGUGUUUUUAUACCCAUUGUACAGAUGAAGAAACUGAGAUUACUGGGGAAGGUAAAGUGACUUGCCCAAGGUCACAUAGCCAGUAAGUAAUAGCACCAGGACCAGAACCUAUGUUGCCCAGCUUCUCAUCUAGUACUCUUCCAUAUUUCCUCACUUGACUAUGAAAAUAGUACUUGAAAGAAUGAUGAGGUUGUCCAGAGACGAGAUUGAUAAUCUGACUUUCUGUUUUAAUGAAGAAUUUUAUCGGUUUUUUCUUUGAGUUCUCCGGAGCCUCCACUGUCUGUUGGUUAGACUCUCAUCACAGCAGUGCUCCGUGGUCCAGCCUGGCCGGUGGCAGGAACACGGUGCUCGUGUUUGGAAGUCAUGCUCCUUGGUAGCCAGGCAGGAUCCCGUAGUAGUUCAUUUCUAUAGUCAAUCUGGCUCACAGCAUAGGUGCCUUAUUUCUCCAAGGAGAGUUGUGUCUAGUAUCUGCAAAUCGGUUGAAUCUAUUUUUCGGAGUUUCAUCUUUCAUUUUUCAAAGAGAAGGGCUUUCCAUAGGAACUGAUCCCAAGAGAGGAGAAAAGAAAUGAUAAGGGAAGGAAUGGCUAGUGGCCAUAUGAAGGUCUCCCCUCUGAAGGAAGAUUGGGACCCAGUGGAAGCACUGGAGAGGCAACAGGUCUGGGCAAUAGAGCGUAACUGGAAAGUGAAGAUAAACUGGGGUCCCACUUGCUGCUUUAACGACUUCUGCCAUUUAAUUCUCAAUCCUUGAUGACUUUUUCCAGAUACUGGCACAUUUGGUCUGACUACAGGAUAGAGAAUUUUCACUGAAAUAUCUUGCCAUACCUAUAUUAAUAGUGCAGUGAGUUGCUAAAGCCCUUUACUUUCUGCAGAGGUGAAUCGAGAGUUCCGAAAGGGAGGUCCGCGAUGAGUGGCUUGUUCUAAUUGCAGUGGCACAACGCUGAUCUAUUUAUCAUCUUGCGUGUGGGAAAUGAAAAGCCUUCUGAGCAGGAACUUACUAUAAUAUAGCACAAACAAAGAUCAUGAUUGAGCCAGGGAUUCCUGGGGAAUAUCAGUUCCUAUUCCUUUUAAAACCUGAUUUUGGUUUUCUCUGUUCUACGUAUAUCUUUAAUGAGAGCACAAUAAACUGCAGGACACUGUGCCAAAUGCUAUAGGUCAGGGUAGAAAAAAUGAAUGUUUUUUGUUAUGAAGGCAUUGUUCAUGUGAUAUUUAUAUAAACACAUUUAUAAAUCUCCAUCUCAGCAGUACAGGGGGGUUAGCUUGCUGGGGAAUAGUUUCAAACACCUGGUCAGAGUAACAUAUCUCUUCUAGAGAAUCAGGGUUCAGCGUGAGCUGUCCCUCUGCCCAUUAUAAGAGUGAAGUGUCUGAGGUACUUAUUUCUCCAUAGAUUGUGCAAUAUCAAGGAAUGAAGGACUAUAGAUUGUAAUAGCCUUUGAUUAUGGAGCUGAGUGCAGGAGUGGGUGACUCGGCAAUAUCAGGGUUCUGAUCUCUGAUCUCUGAUCUCUGAUCUCUGAAGCAGCCGGAUCUGAACGCCGGAUCUUACAACACUGAGUCCCAUUGCUGAACCAAACUGUGUAAUAGGCAUUUAUUGCCAAAGUUUACCUGUCACCGGGUAGUUGUCAUCUGAUAGGAAAGAAGACUGGUAAUUUUACUUAUUUUUUUAUUUUUUAUUAUUUGAGAGAGAGAGAUUGAUUUUUUUUGUUCCACUAAUUUAUUAUUCAUUGUAUGUGCACUGACCAAGGAUUGAACCCCCAACCUUGGCAUAUUGGGACGAUGCUCUAACCAACUGAACUACCCAGCCAGAGGAAGACUGGUCAUUUUAAUCUCUUGGGAUAAUCACAGAAAAUUGAAGCCCAUACUCUUUAUUAUUGAACUCAAGUUUAGAAACAUGGUUUUAAAUCAAGGUGGUUCUUGAUCCCAACCAUUUAUUUGGGUCGUUUGUUGUUGUUUGUUUGUUUGUUUGUUUUAGUUUGGAGUUCUGGGAAAGAACCUUGAAAACUCCAUGUGGUUCUGCAACAUUAGAUCUGGAGUGACCAUUUGGGCAAAGCACCAAUGGCAGUCCUUGAUCGUGUUUUGCAUUUCCUGGGGUUUAUUGAAAUAAGAACUCACUGUGAUUGUGCUGCCUUCUGGGCAGUGCCAGGCAGCUCUGCUUUUAAUUUGGUUAAUUUUAUUUUCUCUGGAGAAGGAAAAGAGGCACAAUUUCAUCUUUGCCUGCACAGGCACAUUAAAGCUCAUGUGUUAAUUCAUUCUUACGCUCCUCCAUUAAAUUACAUGCCUUGGUAAGUCGGUAAGUGGACAUGUGUUCAGCUUUAAUUUUUUUGCAAGAGAAAAAUCAGACUUCCGUAUGGCAUUGUUGUAUUUCAGAGGCUCUCUGGUGUUUCAAUAAAUCUAAGUGAAUGUUGCCUUCAAUUUUUCCAAUGCAUAUAACCAGGUGGUUCAUGCUGCAAAUGCUGUCAGGAAGCAGUCCAGUGCUGGAGCAAGAGUUUGUUCAAGUGAUUUGUCUUCCUGAUCCUUGUGCUUUAUUUCACGUGUCAGUGUUUACAUUGCAUACUUAUAUUUUCUGUGAAAGAAAAAAGUUAAAUAAAUCUUGGCAGUUUGAGUUUU